GUUUGGAAAGCAACAAAUAAGAUUACAAAUUGCAUCGCAUCAGCAGAAUCGUUUACUGUAGAGGACGGUGGUCUUGAUUAUGAUUCCCCUGGGGUGACUGCCUUUAUCAAUCAUGUUGUUGCCUGAAGAUGCACAUAGAGAUGCUCCUCAGUACAGCAGCAUGUCCUGAAGGAGCGUCCUGGUAAUUUCUAGGUGCCAAAUAUUUAAGUUCAGAUCUGCAAGUUUUGAACUCUGGAUGGAAGAUUAAUGUGUCAUAUACGAAUACCACCUUAUAUAAUAAUUUUCAUUGUUUGAAGAAUUUUUAUAAAUAUUAAGAACGUAACCCAUAGUAGUAUCUCUGUGGAUAUUGCCCUUCUGUAUGCUGAGAAGAGAUGUAUGGGAGUUCCUUAUUAGAGGCUUUCACCCAAAGAAUGGAAAAUUGAAGUAAAAAGAGACAGAUGGAUCAAGGUGGAACACUGCUUAUUUCCAUGUAAGAUGAAAUGGACUGGCCAAGGAAGGGUAAAGGGGGAGGAAACUGAAGAGGACAUGAGAUAAGGAGAUGAGGGUUUGCAGCAUGGUAGUGGCAUUGGAGUACAACAGGUCAAUCUAUCUACAUCAAGCCAAUGAAAGGGAAAAGCAGACAGAAUAAACUGAUUUUCAUUUCUUAUGGUGUGUUAUGGCAGGAAUUCUACAAAAACAGACAUUGUGCUUUCGUGGCUUGCAGUUAAAUGAAAAGACAACCCAGUGUUUCUGAGAAAAUGAGCCAUGUUCUAGAGUUGGAUUUUUGCCUACAUCUUUUUGCCUUUUGUAGUGAAGGAGCUGUGUGUCACCUGCUUCUGUCCCAUUGGGCCCUGUCCCUCCUGACUACUAUUAUGAUCAGAACAGCCAUUCUCAAAGUUUCCCUCUCAGGGGCUCAUAAUGCACAUUUGGGCUGUGAUUCACCUGCGGCAGUAGAAUAUCCCAAGGGCUGGUGAUCCCACUUCUGAAUGCAACCUUUCUUACAGCAUGUGGACAGUAAUUGAAGAUCUGCUGAUGUACAACAUGCACAAGAGCUGGACUGAUGUACUAGAAGCUGGAACUGAAGCAAGUGUAGAAGACUCUUCUUCUCCUUCGAAUUCUUUUGGAAAGAACCCAACAUUUGACUGUCUCCUUUUAUGGAGCUUACGGAGCUGUGAGCACUGAACGUGGGAACUUGGACUGCUAUUCUGAGCACAUUUCAGAAAACUCUGUUGCGUCCCAUUACGUGCCUGUCUUUGAUCUCAAAUUGAAAAUCUCGGAGCCUCUUCCUCCAAUCCAAAAGCAAAUAAAUAGUGAAAGAAAGAAACCUCUCUCCUCUCAGCACGUAGGGCCUCCACGACUGAAAAAUGAAGGUGACAGUAAUAGCUCUGAUGAACCUGUUUGGACAACAGACAGCAACAAAUACCUGUCUCUGUGGAGGAGUUUAAGAGCACUGCAGAGAUCCUCAGACAGUGCAGAGCCUCUUGGCUUACACAGGCCACUGUCUUUCUCUCCAAACAAUACCAGCCAAGCUUCCUCUGUACCUACAACUGAAGAGCUGCGGGAACAGGACAGUAACUAAUACAGCUUUCAAAUUUGAAUCUCCUGGUCUUAUUAAAAAAUAAGAAAUGAAGAAAAAAAAAAAAGAAAAGAAAAAGACAUGAAUUCUAAGCAAGAUGAAGGAUUUGAUUCUGAGGAAGAAAACUACACAAGGAGGCUUGAAGCUACAAGGGCAGUCCAGACUGCUUUUUCUCCAACCAGCUACUUUACUCAUGGCCCUUUGAAAGCAGCAAUUCCUGUGAAUCAGCAGUUAAAACGGUUUUGCUGACAGAGGCCCAGAGUCGCCAGAGGCCAUCCUCGGCUCACCACACGCCAUCUUUCUGCAGAUGGUUGGGGCUGGUGGGGCGAUCGCUGCCACUCCAACAUGGCCUGCACCUCGAGGGACUCCACACCAAGCACUGCAGGCCUCCGGGCUGAGACACAGUGGAUGAUUGAUUGUACCCGCCAGCUGCCUAAUAUCAUAAUUAACAAAGUUGCUACCAUGUCUGAGAAGUUUAAUCGAAAAAAUUGCUGGCAGUAUGAUACCAUUGUCACAGAGAUCACAAGCACUGCAGUGCCGACUUUUGUACUGUUGGAGCCGCAGGACUAUGUAGAUGUGCAGAGAAGUCGUUCGCUGGGAUAACUAAAGUGAGCUGUGCUUGCAGACUGUGCGUGACUGUGCUCUGCUGGAGCUGCCCAGUGGCAUCCUGCCUCUGCUCUGUUCGUCGCCGCUGGAGCAGCAGUGCCAUGGGGACGCCGAACCUGGGAGCAGCUGCCUGAGACAAACCCUCAUACAAGGAUGUCAGCAGAAGCGCGUGGAGGCACGUCAGUAAGGUUUAGCUGGUGGAUCACAUUUUGAAAUCUGCAGCCAUGAAAAGCCCUCCAUUUAUUGCACCCUUCAAAACGAAAUAUUAGCAUGGGAGGCUAAGCUGGGUGUUACGGAGUAAUGACUUCAAGUUCUGCUUCAGAAGUAACUCCAUGGCACUACAAGGAGAGGUGUGAAUGAGAAAUGGAGGCUAAUAACGAAGGAGUCAGUGAAGGAGACCAAUGCCAUGAGGGUUAUCUCGCAGCCCCAGAUGCUGGAUAAGUUGGAAGAGGCAGAAUCGCUUUUGGAUGACAUUCAGGAAGGCCUUGAAUGAUUAUUUGGGGAAGAAAAGACUAUUCUUUCCAAGGGUUUUUUUGUGUGUGAUUUUUUUUUUUUUUUUCAGUGCAGCAAUGAUCUUUCAAGAAUCCUUUCUGAGACAAAGGAUCCACUCCACAUCCAGCCACACCUAAAGAAAUGCUUUGAAGGAAUUGCCAAGCUCACUUUUAAUCAUGAGAAAGAAAUUACCCACAUGGAGUCAGCAGAAAAUGAAAAAGUAGAGCUCGUGCUGUGAAUAAUUCCAGCAAGUGCCAAGGGGCUAGUUGAGCAAUGGCUUCAUGAGGUGAAUAUCUUUAGCUCUUACUUAGGGUUUAGUUACUGUAUAAUCAUUUUCUCUUUUAGGAGCAAUGAAUAUCAUAAGCAUAUUUCCUACCUAAACAGCUCUUUGAAUAUUUGUCAAGAUGUUGACAGAUUUCAGCCUUAUUGUUGUUAUUUAUUGCAGCUAAUAUAGCAACUGCAAGUGCAAAAAUUAAUUUUAAUAAAAAGCUCACCGAAUCAGGCUGUCAGCAGAAGUGGAUCUGUGUCUGAAACCAUGUUUGUGAAUAUAUGUCUAAGUCUACAUGUAUGUGUUUUUGUGCUUUCAUUGUGUAAUGUCGUUAGUUCAAGAGGAAAACAUUUUAAAAUCAAUCAGAGAAAUAUAAGAAUUCAGAUACAUCCCAUCUUGUACAUAUGUGUUCCAUUAUAUUGGAGGGAUUCUAUUUCCAGUGUCUUUUAACAAAAGGGAAGAGUAAUUACGUCACUGACAACAUUUUAACCUUUCCCCUUGGAGCCUCUCAUCCAAAUUCAUUGUUUUCAGUGUGAAAUUAGUUUGGUGACUUUUUGUUGUUGUUACUGUUGUUUAUUUCAUUUAGACUUCCUUUGUCAAAGGUUGGGAAUGGCCCCUUCUGUUGUUCUUUGUUUCUGGACCAAAGGUCCAUCCCCUUUCCCCUACACCUUCCUUUCUUCUGGGGCUGGACUAGCCCUGGGUAGGUAGGGGUUGACAGCUAGUGAGAUGGGGCAGUUGGAGGAGCACUAUUUCCAUCUCUAGCUGAUUCACUGGACUCCCUGGGUGCCAAGGAACAGUGCAGCCUGGUGCAGCCAGUGGGUUGGAGGAGUUUUUUCCAUUAUAUGUUGCUUUUCUGCUGUCUGAUUGAACAAAUUUGAGCCCUUUGAGCCAUCUUGUGAGGCCUUGUUUCCUAUUGCACUGAGUUGUGUGGCAGCAAUGUGCCAGGUUGUGGCUGAGCCAGUUCUUACAGUGACUUCUUCAUGGCAUUUGAGAUGUCAGCAGCAUCCUUUGGAGUAAGGGAGGAAAACAUAACAGGAUUUAGACAAAUAAAAGCCCUUCCACCCUGUUGUCUGUAUCAUGUGCCUAGCUUGAUGUUUGGACAAAUUUUCAGCACAAAUUUAUCUUCCUGGGGAAAGGUUUUAUAAAAAGUUGCAGUAGGCAAAUGGCAAUUCUGAGGUCCCCAGGAAAGGCCUAAUUCUCAGUUACACUAAGCCUGCAAUAUACUUUCCAUUUUUUUAUUUUUCCCACAAAUGAUAGAGAUUUGGGGAUGUGAGCAGCUGUGUUUAUUUUAACACAUCUCAUUUAACCUUCACCUAAAAACAAAUUGGAAGGUUUGGGAGUGCAUUAAUCUGGACCCAAUUAGUGUCUCUUUCUCCCUCAAAAGUGCAACCUGAGAUUAAUGAAUAUAAACUAGAGUUUCAUAUGCAGUCUUUAAAUCAUUUGCAUGUUUUAUGCAUGAUAAUUGAAUUUAUUUAUGCACUUCCUUUCAUUUAAUGAUUUCUUGCUCUUUUCUAUGCUAUCAACAUCAUAUUUUGCAAGAAAUAGGAUUUGGUAGGCAAGAAAGAGUAGCAGUAUAUAAAUCAAAGCUCAGUUAAUUUUUAGUUCUAGUGUCAACUGUACAUCACUGUUCAUUUUGGUAUCAUGCAAGGGGGGUACAUGGCUGGAAAAAUAUAAAAUAUUUUUGGUGAAGGCUUUUAGCUUAACAAUUUCUGAUGCAGCUUAGUUUGCUUGCAAGUGUGCAAGCAAAAUUAUUUUCAAAUGGCAGUUAAAUUAUUGUAUUGACUUUUCAAUGACCCUGGAGACUUGUGUUUCAACUUGGCCAAUUAGUAGUAAUAAGAAGAUGAACAGUAAUUACAUUAAUAAAUAACUGUUUUCAGACCAGGACCUCAGUAUCAUAGUCUGGCUAAGAAAAUAAGGGCAUAUUAUAAUUUGUCUCAUUUUGUCUUUGACUGAGAGAAAUAGGGACUUUGGAGCUAUAGUAAAUAGCUCAUAGCCCAGAAUAUAGCAGUCCCAGGGACUAGGAGCCAUAUCAGCUAGCAGCUCUGUGGUAGUAGCUGUUUCAGUGCCAUAAGUAGAGAGUUUUGCUUUGUUUCUCUACUUAAGCUCAGAUGUCUUAAAGAUUUCUUAGUGAUUGUCUCUGCAUUUUUUAUAAUGCAUGCCAGGAAGCCACCAUGGCAAAGAAUUUUAAUAAGAUGCUGGUAGUGGUGCUUUCAAAGCCUUAACCUAUACCAGAUUCUAUUUUGUCUCGUCUUUCCUUAUGUGUUGAAAGAUGUAUGUGGAAGUGACAUUUUUCUGUGGUGUCUUGUCUUUUAUCAGUGGAUUAAAUGGUUGUGUGUUGUGAUUGUUUCUUGAUUCUCGUAGGUAGGAAUGUGUUUAAAGGCUAAAGCUCUGUUAAUUUGUGAUGUAACCAUUUCAGUGUGUUUCUUGUCAUUGAAAUGUAGUUUCAAAUGUUCAGUAAUAUAGCAUGAAAUUAUUGGUUAGUUUUGGAGUGGUGGUGAAAUCAUGUGAAGAAAAUAAGUAUUGCAUCUGAUCAAGAUAAAUUCACUCUAGUGUUUUAUGGCUUUUUAUUCCUAUGUGAUAGUAAUAAAGUCUCAUGUAGGGAUGGAAGCCAUGAAAUACAUUGUGAAAAAUCAUCAACUCAGAUGGGGCCAUCAGAAUAGCAUGCUGUAGUUGUAGAGUUAUUGAGAAUGAUUGGAAGAUGAUUUAGUAUGCCACCAUGUUGACUACCAUGUUAUUCAUUUUCUUUCUUCAUCUCUUACUCAUGUAGUUUGAUGAGAGGAAAUCAGUUUCUAAUGAGCUGAUCCAUCUUCACAUCAGUGUUUGGUGUUUAUACCGUUCAUACAUCUUUCAUAUUCUUCUAAAGAUAACACUGUAUAUGAAACACUAAGCUAAGAAUUUAAUGUGUAUAAUAAACAAAUGCCAAAAUGAAUAUCAAGAAAAUCCAAUGAUUUGUAAAUGCUUGAAAAUUACAGACAGAACAAAGCAAGGUCUACCCUGUUAGCUAGUGAUCCAGGUUCUUUAUUUCCAUGUUCAAGAGCAAAUCUGAGAGAUGAUCUGGGGAUUGACAAAGAAUUCUCUUUCCCCUCUUACUUGCUUUUGAAAGUGCAUGAUCUUUUCUCAUUCUGGAACUGAGAUAAAGGCUGAUAGUGUUGAGAGCAGAAAACAAUCCUUGACAAUUUAUUUGCAUUGCUGCCAUUCCACAUAGUGCCUUACCACUCUGCUUGGCUCUUUGGGUACCAGUUUCCUUUGGGAAUAUUUUUGAGUAGGCUGUUUGUUCUGCUACAACUAUUUACAAUUUUAAUUAUGUAUUCUUUGUCUGAAAAAUAUACUAAUAAAACUAUUGAUUUUUUGUACUUUGACUCCUUCAUUAUUUCUCUCCCGUGUGGCUUUAUUUUUUUUCCCCUGCUAAAAAGUAUGUUCUUGUUAUAGUAACUCAGGGCCUCAUUUGGUGUAAAGUUCAAGAAAUAAUUAGGAAGGAAGCAUAUUCCCCUUUCCUUUCCCCUAAAUUUAGAUUUCUAGAUUAAAUCAAAUAGCACUCAGAAAAGUUGGACCUUGACAAAUUCACAGACACGGUGCAGCAAUUAUUUCAGCCUUUGGCUUACACACAUGAUGUCACGUGAAGUAAAAUGUGUAAAACUUUGCAAAACAAGUUACUUGCAGAUUUCUGCUAGAAAGCAAAGUAUUUGCCUUUUAUGUUUUAACAGAAUUGCUUCCAAAAGUAUCCAGGAUGAACUGCCAAGAGAAUAAUCCGGUCUUGUCUUUCAACUUUGUAUUUGGUUAAGAUAAAAACUGUCUUCAUCAUUUGCCCCCAGAUGUUUUCAAUGUUUACUUUGGAUAUGGUGAUUACUUACCAGAAACCUAGGACAAAGUUCUUUAGACAGUUUCAG
ensembl:lncRNA